rnacentral:rRNA from 1 species
UACGUAGGGGGCUAGCGUUGUCCGGAAUCAUUGGGCGUAAAGAGCGUGUAGGCGGCCCGGUAAGUCCGCUGUAAAAGUCAAAGGCUCAACCUUUGAAUGUCAGUGGAUACUGCCGGGCUAGAGUCCGGAAGAGGCGAGUGGAACUCCUGGUGUAGCGGUGGAAUGCGCAGAUAUCAGGAAGAACACCAACGGCGAAGGCAGCUCGCUGGGACGGUACUGACGCUGAGACGCGAAAGCGUGGGAGCGAACAGG